rnacentral:rRNA from 1 species
UACGUAGGGUGCGAGCGUUGUCCGGAAUUAUUGGGCGUAAAGAGCUCGUAGGCGGUUUGGUCGCGUCUGCUGUGAAAACCCGGAGGCUCAACCUCGGGCCUGCAGUGGGUGCGGGCAGACUAGAGUGCGGGUAGGGGAGAUUGGAAUUCCGGGUGUAGCGGUGGAAUGCGUAGAGAUCCGGAAGAACACCGGUGGCGAAGGCGGGUCUCUGGGCGAAUAACUGACGCUGAGGAGCGAAAGCGUGGGGAGCGAACAGG